rnacentral:rRNA from 1 species
GAUGAACGCUAGCUACAGGCUUAACACAUGCAAGUCGAGGGGUAACAAGAGGAAAGCUUGCUUUUCUUGUUGACGACCGGCGCACGGAUGAGUAACGCGUAUCCAACCUGCCUAUAACUAGGGAAUAACCUUGCGAAAGUAAGACUAAUACCCUAUGAUUUCCUUUGAUGACAUCAGAUUAGGAAUAAAGAUUUAUCGGUUAUAGAUGGGGAUGCGUCUGAUUAGCUUGUUGGCGGGGUAACGGCCCACCAAGGCAACGAUCAGUAGGGGUUCUGAGAGGAAGGUCCCCCACAUUGGAACUGAGACACGGUCCAAACUCCUACGGGAGGCAGCAGUGAGGAAUAUUGGUCAAUGGGCGGAAGCCUGAACCAGCCAAGUAGCGUGCAGGGUGACGGCCCUAUGGGUUGUAAACUGCUUUUAUACAGGAAUAAAGUUAGCCACGUGUGGUUAUUUGUAGGUACUGUAUGAAUAAGGACCGGCUAAUUCCGUGCCAGCCGCCGCAGUAAUAC